AGACGUAGGUGGCGAGCGUUGUCCGGAAUUACUGGGCGUAAAGGGCGUGUAGGCGGCCUUUCAAGUCAGGCGUGAAAUUCCUGGGCUCAACCCAGGGACUGCGUUUGAGACUGAGGGGCUUGAGGACAGGAGAGGGAAGUGGAACUCCGUGUGUAGCGGUGAAAUGCGUAGAUAUACGGAAGAACACCAGUGGCGAAGGCGGCUUCCUGGACUGUCCCUGACGCUGAGGCGCGAAAGCCAGGGGAGCGAACGGGAUUAGAUACCCCGGUAGUCCUGGCUGUAAACGAUGGGUACUAGGUGUGGGGGGUAUCGACCCCUCCCGUGCCGGAGUUAACACAAUAAGUACCCCGCCUGGGGAGUACGGCCGCAAGGUUGAA
rnacentral:rRNA from 1 species